rnacentral:sRNA from 1 species
CAAACAACGAAAUAAAUUCACACACACACACACACAUGUGUAGCACAUAUGCAGAUAUUUAUGUGUGUGUGUGUGUGUGGAGACAAGAC